UACGUAGGGUGCAAGCGUUGUCCGGAAUUAUUGGGCGUAAAGAGCUCGUAGGCGGUUUGUUGCGUCGGCUGUGAAAUCCCGAGGCUCAACCUCGGGUCUGCAGUCGAUACGAGCAAACUAGAGUGUUGCAGGGGAGACUGGAAUUCCUGGUGUAGCGGUGAAAUGCGCAGAUAUCAGGAGGAACACCGAUGGCGAAGGCAGGUCUCUGGGCUGUAACUGACGCUGAGGAGCGAAAGCAUGGGGAGCGAACAGG
rnacentral:rRNA from 1 species